rnacentral:rRNA from 1 species
ACGCCUUAUACAUGCAAGUCGAACGAAGUAGCAAUACUUAGUGGCAGACGGGUGAGUAACAUGUGGGUAUCUUCCCUUUGGUGAGGAAUAACGCGAGGAAACUUGCGCUAAUACCUCAUAAGUCUUUACGGAGAAAGCUUUAUGCGCCAAUGGAUGAGCCCGCACUUGAUUAGUUUGUUGGUGGGGUAAUGGCCUACCAAGGCUUUGAUCAAUAGCUGAUCUGAGAGGAUGAUCAGCCACAUUGGGACUGAGACACGGCCCAAACUCCUACGGGAGGCAGCAGUAGGGAAUAUUGCACAAUGGAGGAAACUCUGAUGCAGCGAUGCCGCGUGAGUGAAGAAGGCCUUUGGGUUGUAAAGCUCUUUCGUCGGGGAAGAAAAUGACUGUACCCGAAUAAGAAGGUCCGGCUAACUUCGUGCCAGCAGCCGCGGUAAUACGAAGGGACCUAGCGUAGUUCGGAAUUACUGGGCUUAAAGAGUUCGUAGGUGGUUGAAAAAGUUGGUUGUGAAAUCCCGGAGCUUAACUCCGGAACUGCAAUCAAAACUUUUCAGCUAGAGUAUGAUAGAGGAAAGCAGAAUUUCUAGUGUAGAGGUGAAAUUCGUAGAUAUUAGAAAGAAUACCAAUUGCGAAGGCAGCUUUCUGGAUCAUUACUGACGCUGAGGAACGAAAGCAUGGGUAGCGAAGAGGAUUAGAUACCCUCGUAGUCCAUGCCGUAAACGAUGUGUGUUAGACGUUGGAAAUUUAUUUUCAGUGUCGCAGCGAAAGCAUUAAACACACCGCCUGGGGAGUACG